rnacentral:rRNA from 1 species
UCUGAUAAAAUAUAGAAGGUCCAGCCUGCCCAGUGACAAAGUUAAACGGCCGCGGUACCCUAACCGUGCGAAGGUAGCGCAAUCACUUGUUCUUUAAAUGAGGACUAGUAUGAACGGCAUCACGAGGAUUACACUGUCUCCCCCCUUUAAUCAGUGAAACUGAUUCCCCCGUGAAGAAGCGGGGAUAAACCUAUAAGACGAGAAGACCCUAUGGAGCUUUAAACUAACACCACCUGUCUACAAACACUUCAUAACAAACAGACAAAGCCUGUGUACUAGUUUUUGGUUGGGGUGACCGCGGAGCAAAAUAAAACCUCCACGAUGAAAAGACCUUCCCUCUUAAUCCAAGAGCAACAUCUCAAAGAAUUGGCAAACCAACACAACUGAUCCAAACAACUUUGAUCAACGAAC